rnacentral:misc_RNA from 1 species
UAUGAAGAACGCAGUGAAAUGCGAUAAGUAAUGUGAAUUGCAGAAUUCAGUGAAUCAUCGAAUCUUUGAACGCACCUUGCACCCUUUGGCAUUCCGAAGGGUAUGCUCGUUUGAGUGUCAUUGUACUCUCACACUCCCAAUUGCUUUGGAUUGGGAGCGGUGGACUUGGGUGUUGCUGCUUGACUGAGGCUCACCUGAAAUAUGUUAGUGCACCUCUUGAUUGGACAUAGUACGGCGUGAUAAGUGUCUUCGCCGGCUCCUCGCAAAGAGGGUGGCCGAUCGGGAGCUCUGUUGCUUCAAACUGUCUUCGGACAAUCUUCUGGCGACUUGACCUCAAAUCGAGUAGGACUACCCGCUGAACUUAAGCAUAUCAAUAAGCGGAGGA